UACGUAGGGGCCUAGCGUUGUCCGGAUUUAUUGGGCGUAAAGAGCUCGUAGGCGGUUCGACAAGUCGGGUGUGAAAACUCCGGGCUCAACCCGGAGACGCCACCCGAUACUGUCGUGACUGGAGUCCGGUAGGGGAGUGGGGAAUUCCUGGUGUAGCGGUGAAAUGCGUAGAUAUCAGUCGGAACACCGGUGGCGAAGGCGGCUUCUUGGGCCGUUACUGACGCUGAGGCGCGAAAGCCAGGGGAGCGAACGGG
rnacentral:rRNA from 1 species